GAACGGCUCAUUAAAUCAGUAACCAUCCGAACGAACUGCAUCUCUUAGUACGGAUAACCAUAACAAAUUUGUGGCUAAUACGCACGUGAAAAACGAGUCUGAAAGAGCCUUAGGGUUUUUUUGAGGACUUGCGCGACAUAACCGCAAAACCCACGGACGAUCGCGGCCGGUCCCUCUCUCCUCCUUUUGGGGGAGAGGAGGGGUAAGUCGCAGCUAGUUCCGCGAACGGAAAUGUCGAACGAGGAUCGCGCGGGCCUAGGAGCCGGCGACGGUUCGUACGAGUAUCUGACCUAUCGACUUUCGUCGGUGGUUUAACGGACCACGGAGGUCGUCACGGGUACGGGGAAUCAGGGUUCGAUUCCGGAGAGGGAGCACGAGAGUCGGCUACCACUUCCAAGGAAGGCAGCAGGCGCGAAAAUUACCCAAUCCCUCAACGGGGAGGUAGCGACGAGACAUAAUGGUGCGGUGCCUCGACGGUGCCGCGAUCGGAAUGUGCGUGAUUUAAAAACUCUAACGAGUAACAACUGGAGGGCAAGUCUGGUGCCAGCAGCCGCGGUAAUUCCAGCUCCAGUAGUGUAUAUUAAAGUUGUUGCAGUUAAAACGCUCGUAGUCGUAGAUGGAGAUCCAGCGGAGAGCCGGAUCGGGGAGAAUUCCCGGUCGACCGGCGCCCUGGGACGAGCCUACGGGGAAGAACGGAGGGUUCUAAGGUUGGCUUUCCUCUUUUCUCAUUCCUCAUUUCUUUUGAGGGAUGUGGAGAGGGGGGGAGUUAGCCUCCCUCCUUCCUCGAUUUCACUCCGAAAAAAUUAGAGCGUUCGAAGCGUGCGCUCAGGCGCGAGAAUACGUUAGCGGAGCACGACGGAAUACGACCUCGAGUAAAGCCCCACGGUCGUCGGGGGCCCUCGAAGUAAUGAUCGAUAGGGGUGUUGCGGGGGUAUGGGUACUCGCCGGGGAGGGGUGAAAUCCAAAGAUCCGGCGAAGACCGACGAAUGCAAAGGCACUUGCCAAGUGCGCUUUCAUUGAUCAAGAACGAAAGUUGGGGGAUCGAAGAUGAUCAGAUACCAUUGUAGUCCUGACCGUAAACCAUGCCACCCGGGAUUCCCGAGGCGUCUUCAUGGAUGACCCUCGGGGGACCCAUCGAGAAAUCGUUGAGGUUCUGGGUUCUGGGGGGAGUAUAGUCGCAAGACCGAAACUUAAAGGAAUUGACGGAAUGGCACCACCAGGAGUGGAGCCUGCGGCUUAAUUUGACCCAACACGGGGAAACUUACCCGGUCCGGACACGAUUAGGAUUGACAGAUUGACGGUUCUUUCUUGAUUUCGUGAUUGGUGGUGCAUGGCCGUUUUUAGUUGGUGGAGUGAUUUGUCUGGUUUAUUCCGUUAACGAACGAGACCUCGGCCUACUAAAUAGACGAGAUCCCCUUCUUCCGUAAAAGGAAGAGACUCGUCGUUUCGCUCUCUGCUCUCCUCUCCUCGUGGGAGGGGAGUGGUGGCGAAGGGGG
rnacentral:rRNA from 1 species